AACGAACGCUGGCGGCAUGCCUAACACAUGCAAGUCGAACGAGACCGCCGGGCUUUGUGUCGCAGCGGUGGGUAACGCGGGGGAACCUGCCCUUAGGUUCGGAAUACCUCCCCGAAUGGGGUGCUAAUAGCGGGUAAUGUCUUCGGACCAAAGAUUUAUCGCCUUUGGAUGGGCGCGCGUUGGAUUCGCGUGUUGGUAGGGUAAUAGCCUACCACGGGCAGGAUCCGUAGCUGGUUUGAGAGGAUGCUCAACCACACUGGCGCUAAGACACGGCCCAGAAUCCGACGGGAGGCAGGCGAGGGGAAUACAGGAGAAGGGGGGAAGGGAUGAUCCAGCAAUGCGGGGUGAGAGAUGAUGGGCGUAGGGAAGUAAUGCUCUUUUACCCGGGAUGAUAAUGACGGUACCGGGAGAAUAAGCACCGGCUAACUACGUG
rnacentral:rRNA from 1 species